rnacentral:lncRNA from 1 species
UGCACUUCAUGUAGCACUAUUUGCUUCUGUGUCUUAUAAUGUUGCAUGUACCCUCUCUCAGGGCGCCAACCGUACAACAGAGGAGGCAGAACGUGAGAGGAGAGAGCGAGAUGAGCGGAUGAGGCACAGCAGGAAUCCUGCAGCUCGUGGUAUCCCAGCAGCCUCAGGCAGACCUCGCCCCACACAGGAGGGAGCUCCUCCCACCCCCCUCACACCCACCUCUCACACAGGUAAACAGUCUUUCACUUGCCUCUGCCACUUCCCAAGUACUUGAAACACUGUAAGGAGUCAUCUCAUCUCACAGCGAACACAUCCUCACCGAGACCGGUCACUGGCAUGGAGCGCGAACGUAAGGUCAGCAUGCGGCUUCAUCGUGGCGCCCCAGUGAACGUGUCGUCCUCGGACCUGACGGGGCGUCAAGACACUUCCCGCAUGUCCACAUCACAGAAUAGCAUUCCCUUCGAACACCACGGCAAGUAGUUGAUCGUCACAUCCUUGUGUGAAGGCAAAUGCACCAGAUUGUCUCCAUGUCCCAGAAGCCUCCACUUUGCAAUAUGGAGCAGGAUGGGCAACCUAACUACACAUGGCUGAUUGACAGCUCUCCACCAUCAGCUAAUAGAUCGGCCCUGGUGAGGUUCCUUUCCCGCAGUGAAGCUGGUGGUAUAGAGUGGACGGACCACAAAGGGGCCAGAAUCCCAGCAUACAUCGCUCAUGGCAAACUGACUCCACAGCGUGGUUUUUACUCAUACAUGUGCUCACAGCGGGACCCUGUGAACUUCACCUGUUUGUCUGCUAUAUUGAUCUCUUUAACUGUACAAUACUGCCUCCCCCUUUAUUGUGUCUUCUGUUUCUAAGCUGUGAAAUAACUAAAAUAAUCGUGUAAAUGUUUCCAUGCGAUUCUUCAGAAAGACUAUGAAAUGACCGCAGAUGGUUUGAGUCUGAAAGUUAUCACCAGUUAUUUUUAUCAACUCUUUCAUAAAGCCACAACAAUGAAGUGCCAGACUUUGGGGGUUUCAUGCAUUCUGAGCAUGAACUUUGACUCUUGAGGAUGUUGUUUUGACUCAUGAAUGGAGAUCAUGCUUAGAAAUGCUUUGUCUCUUUUGAAAAGGUUGGUUAUACUUUGCUGCAAAUUUUUUUUUUCUGAUGGUUCAGAUGGUGUUUUGUAAGUGAAAAGU